rnacentral:rRNA from 1 species
GAUUCGUCACACUAUCAUUAACUGAAUCCAUAGGUUAAUGAGGCGAACCGGGGGAACUGAAACAUCUAAGUACCCCGAGGAAAAGAAAUCAACCGAGAUUCCCCCAGUAGCGGCGAGCGAACGGGGAGGAGCCCAGAGCCUGAAUCAGCAUGUGUGUUAGUGGAAGCGUCUGGAAAGGCGCGCGAUACAGGGUGACAGCCCCGUACACAAAAGCGCAUGUGCUGUGAGCUCGAUGAGUAGGGCGGGACACGUGGUAUCCUGUCUGAAUAUGGGGGGACCAUCCUCCAAGGCUAAAUACUCCUGACUGACCGAUAGUGAACCAGUACCGUGAGGGAAAGGCGAAAAGAACCCCGGCGAGGGGAGUGAAAAAGAACCUGAAACCGUGUACGUACAA